rnacentral:rRNA from 1 species
CCUACGCGAGGCAGCAGUGAGGAAUAUUGGUCAAUGGGCGUAAGCCUGAACCCGCCAAGUCGCGUGAGGGAUGAAGGUUCUAUGGAUCGUAAACCUCUUUUAUAAGGGAAUAAAGUGUGGGACGUGUCCUAUUUUGUAUGUACCUUAUGAAUAAGGAUCGGCUAACUCCGUGCCAGCAGCCGCGGUAAUACGGAGGAUGCGAGCGUUAUCCGGAUUUCUUGGGUUUAAAGGGUGCGUAGGCGGAUCGUUAAGUCAGUGGUAAAAUUGAGGGGCUCAACCCCUUCCCGCCAUUGAAACUGGCGCUCUUGAGUGGAAGAGAAGUAUGCGGAAUGCGUGGUGUAGCGGUGAAAUGCAUAGAUAUCACGCAGAACCCCGAUUGCGAAGGCAGCAUGCCGGCUUCCGACUGACGCUGAAGCACGAAAGCGUGGGGAUCGAACAGGAUUAGAUACCCUUGUAGUC